rnacentral:rRNA from 1 species
UACAGAGGGUGCUAGCGUUGUUCGGAAUCAUUGGGCGUAAAGGGCGUGUAGGCGGCACACAUAGUCAGGCGUGAAAUUCCUGGGCUUAACCUGGGGGCUGCGUUUGAUACAUGUGAGCUAGAGGAUGGAAGAGGCUCGUGGAAUUCCCAGUGUAGAGGUGAAAUUCGUAGAUAUCGGGAGGAACACCAGUGGCGAAGGCGGCGACCUGGACGGACACUGACGCUGAGACGCGAAAAGCGUGGGAAGCAGACAGG